GGGUCGGUAGUCUAGCUUGGUAUGAUUCUUGCUUGGGGUGCAAGAGAUCGGGAGUUCAAGUCUCCCCCGGCCCACCA
rnacentral:tRNA from 1 species